rnacentral:pre_miRNA from 1 species
CAACCUCCACAGGCUAACCGGCCCGCAGGCUGGGCUGGGCGAGUAUCUCUUGGAAAGGCUCACUCUCAAACAUGACUAAGAGC